rnacentral:rRNA from 1 species
UUAAGCAACUAAGCGUACACGGUGGAUGCCCUGGCAGUCAGAGGCGAUGAAGGACGUGCUAAUCUGCGAUAAGCGUCGGUAAGGUGAUAUGAACCGUUAUAACCGGCGAUUUCCGAAUGGGGAAACCCAGUGUGUUUCGACACACUAUCAUUAACUGAAUCCAUAGGUUAAUGAGGCGAACCGGGGGAACUGAAACAUCUAAGUACCCCGAGGAAAAGAAAUCAACCGAGAUUCCCCCAGUAGCGGCGAGCGAACGGGGAGCAGCCCAGAGCCUGAAUCAGUGUGUGUGUUAGUGGAAGCGUCUGGAAAGGCGCGCGAUACAGGGUGACAGCCCCGUACACAAAAAUGCACAUGCUGUGAGCUCGAUGAGUAGGGCGGGACACGUGGUAUCCUGUCUGAAUAUGGGGGGACCAUCCUCCAAGGCUAAAUACUCCUGACUGACCGAUAGUGAACCAGUACCGUGAGGGAAAGGCGAAAAGAACCCCGGCGAGGGGAGUGAAAAAGAACCUGAAACCGUGUACGUACAAGCAGUGGGAGCACGCUUAGGCGUGUGACUGCGUACCUUUUGUAUAAUGGGUCAGCGACUUAUAUUCUGUAGCAAGGUUAACCGAAUAGGGGAGCCGAAGGGAAACCGAGUCUUAACUGGGCGUUAAGUUGCAGGGUAUAGACCCGAAACCCGGUGAUCUAGCCAUGGGCAGGUUGAAGGUUGGGUAACACUAACUGGAGGACCGAACCGACUAAUGUUGAAAAAUUAGCGGAUGACUUGUGGCUGGGGGUGAAAGGCCAAUCAAACCGGGAGAUAGCUGGUUCUCCCCGAAAGCUAUUUAGGUAGCGCCUCGUGAAUUCAUCUCCGGGGGUAGAGCACUGUUUCGGCAAGGGGGUCAUCCCGACUUACCAACCCGAUGCAAACUGCGAAUACCGGAGAAUGUUAUCACGGGAGACACACGGCGGGUGCUAACGUCCGUCGUGAAGAGGGAAACAACCCAGACCGCCAGCUAAGGUCCCAAAGUCAUGGUUAAGUGGGAAACGAUGUGGGAAGGCCCAGACAGCCAGGAUGUUGGCUUAGAAGCAGCCAUCAUUUAAAGAAAGCGUAAUAGCUCACUGGUCGAGUCGGCCUGCGCGGAAGAUGUAACGGGGCUAAACCAUGCACCGAAGCUGCGGCAGCGACGCUUAUGCGUUGUUGGGUAGGGGAGCGUUCUGUAAGCCUGUGAAGGUGUGCUGUGAGGCAUGCUGGAGGUAUCAGAAGUGCGAAUGCUGACAUAAGUAACGAUAAAGCGGGUGAAAAGCCCGCUCGCCGGAAGACCAAGGGUUCCUGUCCAACGUUAAUCGGGGCAGGGUGAGUCGACCCCUAAGGCGAGGCCGAAAGGCGUAGUCGAUGGGAAACAGGUUAAUAUUCCUGUACUUGGUGUUACUGCGAAGGGGGGACGGAGAAGGCUAUGUUGGCCGGGCGACGGUUGUCCCGGUUUAAGCGUGUAGGCUGGUUUUCCAGGCAAAUCCGGAAAAUCAAGGCUGAGGCGUGAUGACGAGGCACUACGGUGCUGAAGCAACAAAUGCCCUGCUUCCAGGAAAAGCCUCUAAGCAUCAGGUAACAUCAAAUCGUACCCCAAACCGACACAGGUGGUCAGGUAGAGAAUACCAAGGCGCUUGAGAGAACUCGGGUGAAGGAACUAGGCAAAAUGGUGCCGUAACUUCGGGAGAAGGCACGCUGAUAUGUAGGUGAAGCGACUUGCUCGUGGAGCUGAAAUCAGUCGAAGAUACCAGCUGGCUGCAACUGUUUAUUAAAAACACAGCACUGUGCAAACACGAAAGUGGACGUAUACGGUGUGACGCCUGCCCGGUGCCGGAAGGUUAAUUGAUGGGGUUAGCGCAAGCGAAGCUCUUGAUCGAAGCCCCGGUAAACGGCGGCCGUAACUAUAACGGUCCUAAGGUAGCGAAAUUCCUUGUCGGGUAAGUUCCGACCUGCACGAAUGGCGUAAUGAUGGCCAGGCUGUCUCCACCCGAGACUCAGUGAAAUUGAACUCGCUGUGAAGAUGCAGUGUACCCGCGGCAAGACGGAAAGACCCCGUGAACCUUUACUAUAGCUUGACACUGAACAUUGAGCCUUGAUGUGUAGGAUAGGUGGGAGGCUUUGAAGUGUGGACGCCAGUCUGCAUGGAGCCGACCUUGAAAUACCACCCUUUAAUGUUUGAUGUUCUAACGUGGACCCGUGAUCCGGGUUGCGGACAGUGUCUGGUGGGUAGUUUGACUGGGGCGGUCUCCUCCUAAAGAGUAACGGAGGAGCACGAAGGUUGGCUAAUCCUGGUCGGACAUCAGGAGGUUAGUGCAAUGGCAUAAGCCAGCUUGACUGCGAGCGUGACGGCGCGAGCAGGUGCGAAAGCAGGUCAUAGUGAUCCGGUGGUUCUGAAUGGAAGGGCCAUCGCUCAACGGAUAAAAGGUACUCCGGGGAUAACAGGCUGAUACCGCCCAAGAGUUCAUAUCGACGGCGGUGUUUGGCACCUCGAUGUCGGCUCAUCACAUCCUGGGGCUGAAGUAGGUCCCAAGGGUAUGGCUGUUCGCCAUUUAAAGUGGUACGCGAGCUGGGUUUAGAACGUCGUGAGACAGUUCGGUCCCUAUCUGCCGUGGGCGCUGGAGAACUGAGGGGGGCUGCUCCUAGUACGAGAGGACCGGAGUGGACGCAUCACUGGUGUUCGGGUUGUCAUGCCAAUGGCACUGCCCGGUAGCUAAAUGCGGAAGAGAUAAGUGCUGAAAGCAUCUAAGCACGAAACUUGCCCCGAGAUGAGUUCUCCCUGACCCUUUAAGGGUCCUGAAGGAACGUUGAAGACGACGACGUUGAUAGGCCGGGUGUGUAAGCGCAGCGAUGCGUUGAGCUAACCGGUACUAAUGAACCGUGAGGCUUAACCUU